GGUUAAGCGACUAAGCGUACACGGUGGAUGCCCCGGCAGUCAGAGGCGAUGAAGGACGUGCUAAUCUGCGAUAAGCGUCGGUAAGGUGAUAUGAACCGUUAUAACCGGCGAUUUCCGAAUGGGGAAACCCAGUGUGUUUCGACACACUAUCAUUAACUGAAUCCAUAGGUUAAUGAGGCGAACCGGGGAACUGAAACAUCUAAGUACCCCGAGGAAAAGAAAUCAACCGAGAUUCCCCAGUAGCGGCGAGCGAACGGGGAGGAGCCCAGAGCCUGAAUCAGUGUGUGUGUUAGUGGAAGCGUCUGGAAAGGCGCGCGAUACAGGGUGACAGCCCCGUACACAAAAAUGCACAUACUGUGAGCUCGAUGAGUAGGGCGGGACACGUGGUAUCCUGUCUGAAUAUGGGGGACCAUCCUCCAAGGCUAAAUACUCCUGACUGACCGAUAGUGAACCAGUACCGUGAGGGAAAGGCGAAAAGAACCCCGGCGAGGGAGUGAAAAAGAACCUGAAACCGUGUACGUACAAGCAGUGGGAGCCUCUUUUAUGGGGUGACUGCGUACCUUUUGUAUAAUGGGUCAGCGACUUAUAUUCUGUAGCAAGGUUAACCGAAUAGGGGAGCCGAAGGGAAACCGAGUCUUAACUGGGCGUUAAGUUGCAGGGUAUAGACCCGAAACCCGGUGAUCUAGCCAUGGGCAGGUUGAAGGUUGGGUAACACUAACUGGAGGACCGAACCGACUAAUGUUGAAAAAUUAGCGGAUGACUUGUGGCUGGGGGUGAAAGGCCAAUCAAACCGGGAGAUAGCUGGUUCUCCCCGAAAGCUAUUUAGGUAGCGCCUCGUGAAUUCAUCUCCGGGGGUAGAGCACUGUUUCGGCAAGGGGGUCAUCCCGACUUACCAACCCGAUGCAAACUGCGAAUACCGGAGAAUGUUAUCACGGGAGACACACGGCGGGUGCUAACGUCCGUCGUGAAGAGGGAAACAACCCAGACCGCCAGCUAAGGUCCCAAAGUCAUGGUUAAGUGGGAAACGAUGUGGGAAGGCCCAGACAGCCGUGAUGUUGGCUUAGAAGCAGCCAUCAUUUAAAGAAAGCGUAAUAGCUCACUGGUCGAGUCGGCCUGCGCGGAAGAUGUAACGGGGCUAAACCAUGCACCGAAGCUGCGGCAGCGACGCUUAUGCGUUGUUGGGUAGGGGAGCGUUCUGUAAGCCUGUGAAGGUGUACUGUGAGGUAUGCUGGAGGUAUCAGAAGUGCGAAUGCUGACAUAAGUAACGAUAAAGCGGGUGAAAAGCCCGCUCGCCGGAAGACCAAGGGUUCCUGUCCAACGUUAAUCGGGGCAGGGUGAGUCGACCCCUAAGGCGAGGCCGAAAGGCGUAGUCGAUGGGAAACAGGUUAAUAUUCCUGUACUUGGUGUUACUGCGAAGGGGGACGGAGAAGGCUAUGUUGGCCGGGCGACGGUUGUCCCGGUUUAAGCGUGUAGGCUGGUUUUCCGGGCAAAUCCGGAAAAUCAAGGCUGAGGCGUGAUGACGAGGCACUACGGUGCUGAAGCAACAAAUGCCCUGCUUCCGGGAAAAGCCUCUAAGCAUCAGGUAACAUCAAAUCGUACCCCAAACCGACACAGGUGGUCAGGUAGAGAAUACCAAGGCGCUUGAGAGAACUCGGGUGAAGGAACUAGGCAAAAUGGUGCCGUAACUUCGGGAGAAGGCACGCUGAUAUGUAGGUGAAGCGACUUGCUCGUGGAGCUGAAAUCAGUCGAAGAUACCAGCUGGCUGCAACUGUUUAUUAAAAACACAGCACUGUGCAAACACGAAAGUGGACGUAUACGGUGUGACGCCUGCCCGGUGCCGGAAGGUUAAUUGAUGGGGUUAGCGGUAACGCGAAGCUCUUGAUCGAAGCCCCGGUAAACGGCGGCCGUAACUAUAACGGUCCUAAGGUAGCGAAAUUCCUUGUCGGGUAAGUUCCGACCUGCACGAAUGGCGUAAUGAUGGCGGGCUGUCUCCACCCGAGACUCAGUGAAAUUGAACUCGCUGUGAAGAUGCAGUGUACCCGCGGCAAGACGGAAAGACCCCGUGAACCUUUACUAUAGCUUGACACUGAACAUUGAGCCUUGAUGUGUAGGAUAGGUGGGAGGCUUUGAAGUGUGGACGCCAGUCUGCAUGGAGCCGACCUUGAAAUACCACCCUUUAAUGUUUGAUGUUCUAACGUUGGCCCCUGAUCGGGGUUGCGGACAGUGUCUGGUGGGUAGUUUGACUGGGGCGGUCUCCUCCUAAAGAGUAACGGAGGAGCACGAAGGUUGGCUAAUCUCGGUCGGACAUCAGGAGGUUAGUGCAAUGGCAUAAGCCAGCUUGACUGCGAGCGUGACGGCGCGAGCAGGUGCGAAAGCAGGUCAUAGUGAUCCGGUGGUUCUGAAUGGAAGGGCCAUCGCUCAACGGAUAAAAGGUACUCCGGGGAUAACAGGCUGAUACCGCCCAAGAGUUCAUAUCGACGGCGGUGUUUGGCACCUCGAUGUCGGCUCAUCACAUCCCGGGGCUGAAGUAGGUCCCAAGGGUAUGGCUGUUCGCCAUUUAAAGUGGUACGCGAGCUGGGUUUAGAACGUCGUGAGACAGUUCGGUCCCUAUCUGCCGUGGGCGCUGGAGAACUGAGGGGGCUGCUCCUAGUACGAGAGGACCGGAGUGGACGCAUCACUGGUGUUCGGGUUGUCAUGCCAAUGGCACUGCCCGGUAGCUAAAUGCGGAAGAGAUAAGUGCUGAAAGCAUCUAAGCACGAAACUUGCCCCGAGAUGAGUUCUCCCUGAGACUUUAAGUCUCCUGAAGGAACGUUGAAGACGACGACGUUGAUAGGCCGGGUGUGUAAGCGCAGCGAUGCGUUGAGCUAACCGGUACUAAUGAACCGUGAGGCUUAACCUU
rnacentral:rRNA from 1 species